rnacentral:rRNA from 1 species
UACGUAGGGUGCAAGCGUUAAUCGGAAUUACUGGGCGUAAAGCGUGCGCAGGCGGUGCUGUAAGACAGGCGUGAAAUCCCCGGGCUUAACCUGGGAAUGGCGCUUGUGACUGCAGUGCUGGAGUGCGGCAGAGGGGGAUGGAAUUCCGCGUGUAGCAGUGAAAGGCGUAGAUAUGCGGAGGAACACCAAUGGCGAAGGCAAUCCCCUGGGCCUGUACUGACGCUCAUGCACGGAAGCGUGGGUAGCAAACAGU